UACGUAGGGUGCGAGCGUUGUCCGGAAUUAUUGGGCGUAAAGAGCUCGUAGGCGGUCUGUCGCGUCGGCUGUGAAAACCCGGAGCUCAACUCCGGGCCUGCAGUCGAUACGGGCAGACUGGAGUUCGGCAGGGGAGACUGGAAUUCCUGGUGUAGCGGUGAAAUGCGCAGAUAUCAGGAGGAACACCGGCGGCGAAGGCGGGUCUCUGGGCCGAUACUGACGCUGAGGAGCGAAAGCGUGGGGAGCGAACGGG
rnacentral:rRNA from 1 species